rnacentral:lncRNA from 1 species
AAGCCUAAGCAGACGUGCGUGUGGGCACGAUCGAGGCCCAAGUGGGCACGUGCAGGUGCAGCCCGCGUGAGACUCUCACACGGUCCAUGCAUGGUGCAUGUACCGACAAUCCAUAGGGGCCACGGUGGAUUGAAUGGGUAUUUUUUGCCCACUUCUCAUGGUCCACCAUGGAUCGAUGGUGUUUCGGAGUCAUUUCUCACGAUCCACAAUACUAUUUCAUGGAUCGAUGCGCGAUCGGAUGGUUGUGGAUGAUUCUGAUGGGGAUUGGAUGGUUGUCGAUGGUUCUAGGGAGAUUAGCAGGCGUGUAGCAUUGAUGAGUUAUGUUCGAAUAGCCCAAGGAUGAGCCGAUCGAGAUUUAAUAGUUUAGAGACAUGUUUGGGUGAUAAUCAGAGUGCAUAUCCGAUCAGGGCUCGAAUUCAAUUCUUUAAAAGGGCCUGUGGCUUCGAACAGAGGG